GCACAACUCCUGGCUGCAGCAAGAGGAGAAUAUUCAAUUCGAUUUCGGGCAGUUCGACUCGACAGGUUCUAUCUCACGCUCUCAACGGCCCAAAUCGCAUGUGAAAUAACAAAGGCACUCUCUAACGUGACAGUUUGGUCCACUUUUGCAUCCUGGGUUUAUAGGUUUUCUUCUCACCAUUGAUAUUCUGGCUGGAUUUGGUCAUUUUUGAAACAGGAAAGUCAUCCCAGGAUGUCCAGUUACAACUGCAAGUCAUGUAGUUUCUCGACUACAAUAUCAAAUGCUUUUUACAUGUAGAAGUACACGGAAAUGUGGCUAAUCAUCGCUUUAUAUGUGGAA